GGAACAUUCAGGGCCUAAACUCACCAACCUAUCAGUUAGCAUGUGGAACAUUCAGGGCCUAAACUCACCAACCUAUUAGUUAGCAUGUGGAACAUUCAGGGCCUAAACUCACCAACCUCUAGACUGAAGAGUUUAACACACAUCUUAAAGAUGUUGACGUCAUCAUUCUGCAGGAGACAUGGUGUAAAGCUGACGUUGUCACUCACUGUCCCACAGGCUACAGAGAGGUCAUCAUUCUGCAGGAGACAUGGUGUAAAGCUGACGUUGUCACUCACUGUCCCACAGGCUACAGAGAGGUCAUUGUGCCGUCAUUGUCCCACAGGCUACAGAGAGGUCAUUGUGCCGUCACUGUCCCACAGGCUACAGAGAGGUCAUUGUGCCGUCACUGUCCCAAAGGCUACAGAGGUCAUUGUGCCGUCACUGUCCCACAGGCUACAGAGAGGUCAUUGUGCCGUCACUGUCCCACAGGCUACAGAGAGGUCAUUGUGCCGUCACUGUCCAACAGGCUACAGUGAGGUCAUUCUGCCAUCACUGUCCCACAGGCUACAGAGGUCAUUGUGCCGUCACUCUCCCACAGGCUACAGAGAGGUCAUUGUGCAUUGUCCAUCACAGAAACACAGCUCUGUCAGUAGAGGCAGAGACUCUGGAGGACUGAUACAAAUCCAAACUAAAAUAUCAUAUUUAGUUAUAACUGAAAAAAUAACUUGCACUGACAGAAAAAUGUGUUCCUUUGUGCUGUAUAUCCCCCCCUCAGAAUAUGAUCACAGACAUUGACCCUUUCUCUCUCAGCUCA
ensembl:lncRNA